GCCAGCACAUACACUGGAAAAAAAAAAAAUUGGAACUAUACAGAGAAUAUUAGCGUGGCCUCUGAGCAAGGAUGACACACAAAUUUGUGAAGCGUUCCAUUAAAAA
ensembl:snRNA U6 U6 spliceosomal RNA